UACAGAGGGUGCGAGCGUUGUUCGGAAUUACUGGGCGUAAAGCGCGCGCAGGCGGCUUCGCAAGUCGGAUGUGAAAGCCCUGGGCUCAACCCAGGAAGUGCAUUCGAAACUGCAGAGCUGGAGUCCUGGAGAGGAAGGCGGAAUUCUCGGUGUAGAGGUGAAAUUCGUAGAUAUCGAGAGGAACACCGGUGGCGAAGGCGGCCUUCUGGACAGUGACUGACGUGAGACGCGAAAGCGUGGGGAGCAAAACAGG
rnacentral:rRNA from 1 species